rnacentral:miRNA from 1 species
UGUGUGUGUGUGUGUGUGUGUGCGCAUGCGCAUGUGUAUGUGUGUGUGUAUGUGCACACAUGCACACACAUGCACA